rnacentral:tRNA from 1 species
GGGGCGGUAGCUCAGUUGGUAGAGCGCUUCGUUCGCAAUGAUGAGGUCAGGGGUUCGAAUCCCCUUCGCUCCA